rnacentral:rRNA from 1 species
UACAGAGGUCUCAAGCGUUGUCCGGAUUUAUUGGGCGUAAAGAGCGUGUAGGCGGCCAGAUAGGUCAGCUGUGAAAACUCGAGGCUCAACCUCGAGAUGUCGGCUGAAACCAUCUGGCUAGAGUCCGGAAGAGGAGAAUGGAAUUCCCGGUGUAGCGGUGAAAUGCGCAGAUAUCAGGAAGAACACCAGUGGCGAAAGCAGCUCUCU